rnacentral:RNase_P_RNA from 1 species
CAACCAGGCUAGGUGGUCGCGGGCGCCGCGCAGGGUGCCCGAGGAAAGUCCGAGCUCCGCAGGGCAGGGUGCUGGGUAACACCCAGUGGGGGCGACCCCAAGGAAAGUGCAACAGAAAUCAAACCGCCUUGUUGAGCUUGCGGGGUCGUACCCGCGAGCCCGGCAAGGUAAGGGUGAAACGGUGCGGUAAGAGCGCACCGGCGGCCAGGCGACUGGCCGGCCAGGCAAACCCCACCCGGAGCAAGACCAAAUAGGAGGGAGAUAGAGUGGCCCGCUCUUCCCUCGGGUAAGGUCGCUAGAGGCGCAGGGUAACCUGCGUCCAAGAUAGAUGGCCACCCUCGACAGAACUCGGCUUACAGGCCUGGUUGCCGG